UACGGAGGGUGCAGGCGUUAUCCGGCUUCACUGGGUUUAAAGGGUGCGUAGGUGGGUCUGUAAGUCAGUGGUGAAAUCUCCGGGCUUAACCCGGAAACUGCCAUUGAUACUAUAGGUCUUGAAUUUUCUGGAGGUCAGCGGAAUAUGUCAUGUAGCGGUGAAAUGCUUAGAUAUGACAUAGAACACCAAUUGCGAAGGCAGCUGGCUACAGGAACAUUGACACUGAGGCACGAAAGCGUGGGGAUCAAACAGG
rnacentral:rRNA from 1 species